GUAUUUCAUAUUUACAUUUUUGAAUGUUCAUGUUUAAGCUGUCAUAUUUUAAUGAGGUUUAAACUGGUUAAUUGAGCCACAGUUUUUGUUUAGUUUUAUUCAGUGGAUUCAGCACUGUGCAAAGGUGGGCUGUAAAGAUGGCACCACAUUUUAGAAACGCCAUUGUUACAACAUGUGCGUUUGCCGUGUGUGCUAGUUAUCUGAUGAUUCUUUGGAAAGGAGGAGAGAGGCUUAGUUGUGUAUCUUUGAGAAAAGGAAGAGGAUCUCUUCAAAGAACAGUUGGAUGGUGGUGGGGAUAUUACCGUUGAAGCCAGCCAGUGCAACGAUUGUGAUUGAUGGAACAGAAGUCCUGAAAGACCUGGAUGUACCCAGAGCUUGUGCCUUUCUAAUAGGGCUGAUAUAUGCACUGCAAAGCCAUAUCCAAAGAACUGAAAAACACUUUUGAAAAGUUUCAAAAGAUAUUCCUUAAGCUAGAUGGUCUGAAAGCCAGUCUGAAGGUAAUGUAUCUAAAAAGUAAACU